rnacentral:rRNA from 1 species
UACUCCUACGGGGAGGCAGCAGUGGGGAAUAUUGCACAAUGGGGGAAACCCUGAUGCAGCCAUGCCGCGUGUGUGAAGAAGGCCUUCGGGUUGUAAAGCACUUUCAGUAGGGAGGAAGGUAGUGUAGUUAACACCUGCAUUAUUUGACGUUACCUACAGAAGAAGCACCGGCUAACUCCGUGCCAGCAGCCGCGGUAAUACGGAGGGUGCGAGCGUUAAUCGGAAAUUACUGGGCGUAAAGCGCAUGCAGGCGGCCUGUUAAGUCAGAUGUGAAAGCCCGGGGCUUAACCUCGGAAUUGCAUUUGAAACUGGCAGGCUAGAGUCUUGUAGAGGGGGGUAGGAAUUUCAGGUGUAGCGGUGAAAUGCGUAGAGAUCUGAAGGAAUACCAGUGGCGAAGGCGGCCCCCUGGACAAAGACUGACGCUCAGAUGCGAAAGCGUGGGGAGCAAACAGGAUUAGAUACCCUGGUAG